UUAAUACCUGGCAGGGAAGAUACCAUGAUGACCAAGGGGUUUUCCCUAGGGUGAGGCUUAUCCAUUGCAUUUGGAAUGUGCUGACCCCUGCCAUUCCCCCAAAUUCAGGAAACUCCACUGCAUAAUUUGUGAUAGUAGAGGACUGUAUUGGCACUCUCCCCUA